rnacentral:rRNA from 1 species
AAAGGACCAAGAAAACGGGACCGCUGUCAGCGACACGUCCUAACCACAAGGCUGAACACAACUAAAGCCAAACAACAAAAAUCAUAAACCCGGAGAUAACGGGCUUA